rnacentral:lncRNA from 1 species
AGACGGAGUCUCGCUCUGUCGCCCAGGCUGGAGGGCAGUGGCGCGAUCUUGGCUCACUGCAAGCUCCGGCUGCCGGGUUCACGCCAUUCUCCUGCCUCAGCCUCCACAGUAGCUGGGACUACAGAGCCCGCCUCGCUAGUUUUUUUGUAUUUUUUAGUAGAGACGGGGUUUCACCAGGUUAGCCAGGAUGGUCUCGAUCUCCUGACCUCGUGAUCCGCCCGUCUCGGCCUCCCAAAGUGCUGGGAUUACAGGCUUGAGCCACCGCGCCCGGCCUUUUUUUUUUUUUUUUUCCUUUUGAGACAGGGUCUUAGUCUGUCACCAUGGCUGGAGUGCAGUGGCGCAAUCAAAGCUUGCUGCAGCCUUGAACUCCUGGGCCUAAGCAAUCCUCCCACCUCAGCAACUAGGAUUACAGGCACAGGCCACCACACGUGGCCUUUUAAUUUACUUCUGUGCCAACAAAAUAAAACUCAGGCCUAGGAACAGCUUGGUUCAGAAAUCACAGAGGGACUUAGUAUUCCAUUAGUACAAAUUGAAAAAUUAAGUUCAUCAUCAGAUGAUAAAAGGAAUAAAACCUGAUACUCAUCUCAAAAGAUGCAGAAAAGACAUUUGAAUAAAUCCAGUACCUAUUAUUAUUUCAAAUUUAAAAACUACUUUUUUUUUUUUAAGAGAUAGAAUUGCACUUCUCAGCAUUUCACAUUAAGAACCCAACUGCACCUUUUUCUCUGCCUCUAAACACCUGUAGUCUGAUAGGGGAUACCCCCCCAGACCUUAAUCAUUCACAUAACACCUUGAGACUUUCUGCCAUAUCUGACUGAAUAUAGCCAGUCAUUUUUUCCCCUUAAAUCAAGUCACUUUUUUUUUUUUAAACAAAGUCUCGUUCUGUUGCCCUAGCAUGAUCUCAGCUCACUGCAACCUCCUCCUCCUGGGUUCAAGUGAUCCUUGUGCCUCAGCCUCUCGAGGAACUGGUAUUACAGAUGUGCACCACCAUACCUGGCUAACUUUUGUAUUUUUAGUAGAGACGGGUUUUUGCUAUGUUUGCCAGGCUGACGUCUAGCUCCUAGCCUCCUAUGAUCCGCCCACCUCAGCCUCCCAAAGUGAUUACAGCGUGAGUCACCUCACCCAGCCAAAUCAAGUCACUUUUAAAAUACAAAUUUAUUCUAUGUCUAAGGACAUUAUCGAUAAAGUGAAAACACAACCCACAGAAUGGGAGAAAAUAUUUGCAAACCAUAUAUCUGAUAAGGGCCUAGAAUCCAGAAUGUAUAAAGAACUCUUACAAUUCAGUCAUAAAAAGACAAACGCCUAAUUAAAAAGUGGACCAAGGCUCAGCACAGACACUUCUCCAGGGAACACACGCAUACAGCCAACAGCACCAGCAAAGGUGCUUGACAGCAUCACUCAUCAGAGAAAUGCAAGUCCAAAUGACAACAGAGGCUACUUCACACUCCAUUAGAGUGAUUCUAACCAAAAAGUCAGAUAAUAACUAGCGUUGGCAAGAAUGCACAAAAGUUGGAACCCUCUUACUUACUGGUGGGAAUGUAAAAUGCUGCAUCGACAUGGGAAAAUAGUCUGGCAGUUCCUCAAAAAUAUAGAGUUACUAUAUGACCCAGUAAUUCUACUCCUAGGUAUUUACUGAAUUGAAAACACAUGUUCGCACAAAAACUUGUACACAACUGUUCAUAGCACCAUUGUUCAUAAUAGCCCAAAACCAGAAAUAAUCCAAAUGUCCAAAUGAUUGUGAAUAAACAAAAUGGGGUCUAUCCAUACAGUAGAAUAUUAUUCAGUCAGAAAAAGGAAUGCAGUACUGUUCUAUGCUACAACAUGAAUGAACCCUGAAAACAUGCCAGACCCAUGUUUGAAAACAAGAAAACAAGACAGACCCAAAAAGACAAAUAUUUUAUGAUUACACUUACAUGAGGUCCCUAGAAGAGGCAAAUUCACACAGACAGAGAGCACAACAAAGUUUACCAGUAUGACAAAGGUUACCAAAGACCAGGGGAAGACACAGGUAGGAAGAUUUUUUUUGUUUUUUGUUUUUGUUUUUGUUUUUUAUGAAUACAGAGCUUCUGUUUGGGAUGAUGAAAAAGUUCUGGACAUGGAUAGUGUCGAUGGCUGCACAACAUAGCAAAUAUACUAAAAGCCGCUGAAUAGUACAUUUCAAAAGCAUGAAUUUUAUCUCAAUAUUUAGAAGGAAAAAUAUUCUUAGAAGAAACAAUAUUACCAUCAUAAAUGGAAAACCGGUAAUAACAAAAUACAUACAUACAUACAUAUUAAGAUUUACAAUGUCUAUUAGCAAGUCACCCUAACUCAUCUUACAGACCACCAGCAGGACAAUUACCCCUCUGGGCGACAUGAAAAAGGCUGCCGGGGGCUUAUGUCCAGUGCCCAGGGUCCAGCAUGGCCCUCUUCCUCGGUUUGCUGAUGGAUCCCACUUCUAUAGUGCGUCAGGAAGGAACCAGACCACCGUGCUCAUGGCUUGAUAGUUAUUGCAGCCAAUGGGAACAAGACAGGAAGAGAGAAGCAUAGAAAAUGGAAUAAGGUCUGUGAAUAAUGUAAUCAUCAAAGGUGACUGUUUUUCACUUGGUAUUCCCAAGAGACCAGGGCUCACUCCCUGUCAAGAGUGACUAGCAUAAUGCUUGCAUUAUUUCAUUAACCCUCAUCCUACUUCUUACAGAUGGGGAAACUGAGGCAGAAAGCAAAUAAGUAAAUAAGUAGUGGGUCCAGGAUCAGAUCCCGGCUCUCUGACUUGAAAGCCAAGACACUAUAUUGCCUCCCAAUUGACCCUAAUAGUGAAGUUCAGCGUAUCUAUUUACGAAACAAAGCAUAGUUAUUUAAAAGUCUUACCAUAUACUACCAUCAUCAGAAAUUUAAAUAGAAAAAUAUAUCCAACUGCAGUGUAGACUGUUAAAUUUCAAAGGACAAACUUCAUAAAUGUGCAUAACCUAUAUAAAGAGAAGUUCAAUACUCCCAAGAAAACAUGAAAAUCAUCAUAUCCUAAAUGAACAGGGAGUUCAGUUCCUCAGUGGGAAGUCUCAGUAUUAUAAUAUGGUUAUAAAUGUAAUGAAAUUCCAAUACAAAUUCAAACACUACUAAAAAGAAUGACAUGCACCUCUAUUUAUCAUAUAUCAAACUCAGUCAGUAGAAAGCUAAAAUAAUGAAAACAUUGGGUUGGCACAAGGAAAGACAGAUCUGAUACAACAGACUAAAAGUCCAAAAACAGAUGUCUAUUAAAUUAUUUGAGAUGGAGUCUCUCUCUGUCUCCCAGGCUGGAGUGCAGUGGUGCGAUCUCGGCUCACUGCAAGCUCUGCCUCGCGGGUUCACGCCAUUCUCCUGCCUCAGCCUCCCGAGUAGCUGGGACUACAGGCGCCGCCACCAUGCCCGGCUAAUUUUUUGUAUUUUUAGCAGAGACGGGGUUUCACCAUUUUAGCCAGGAUGGUCUCGAUUUCCUGACCUCGUGAUCCGCCCGCCUCGGCCCCGCAAAGUGCUGGGAUUAUAGGUGUGAGCCACCACGCCCAGCCCCUAUUUAUUUAUUUAUUUUUUGAGAUGGAGUCUCACCCUGUCUCCCAGGCUGGAAUGCAGUGGCACGAUCUUGGCUCACUGAAACCUCUGCCUCCUGGGUUCAAGUGAUUCUCCUGCCUCAGCCUCCUGAGGAGCUGGGAUUACAGGCACCCACCACCACGCCUGGCUAAUUUUUGUAUUUUUAGUAGAGACGGGAUUUCACCAUGUUGGCCAGACUGGUCUCAAAAUCCUGACCUUAAGUGAUCCACCCACCUUGGCUUCCCAAAGUGCUGGGAUUACAGGUGCGAGCCACUGCGCCUGGCCUAUUAAAUUAUUUAGUCCAUGGUUAUCAAGUGGCAUCCAAAUCAGUAGAGAAAGUAGAAUGAUUCAGUAUAUGGUGUUGGGAAAAUCAGGUUGCCAUUUGAAAUAAGUAAACUGGAUUCCUACAUCUUGUACUAUAAACCAAGUAGAUGGAUUAGAGUUUAAUGUCAAAAACAAAACCAUAAAGGAACCAGAAGAAAAUACAAUAUAACACCAAAGUAUGAAACCGUAAUAAUAAAAAAUGGAUAGACUUGGUUACAAAAUUUAAAACCAUUGGCAAGAUCCAACACUUAAAAGGCAAACUACAAAUGUGAACGAUGUUUUGUAAUAGGUAAGGGUAAAUGUCCUCAACACAGUUUUCACAAAGCAAUGAAAACAUAGGUGAAGCCCAAAGUAGAUGCACAGAUCAGCUCUAACAGACAAAAAAUAUCCAUUCAACCUCACAGAAUCCAGAAGUGCAAAUUAAAAUACUGAGAUACCAUUUCUUGCCUUCAAAUCAGCAAAGAUAAAAACAAAGACAGUGAGGGGCCAGACUAUGGGGACCCCCCACUGGUCACCUGCUGGGCACAUGGGCUCUGCCUGCCUGGGAGGAGGGCGCUCGGCAACAGAAGUCAAACUGCUCAUAGCCUCUGGGCCGGUUUCUUUCACUGUUAAGAAACUGCCAUAAGGAAAUGGUCAGAUGUAUGCACAACAGUGUCUCAGGAAACAGAGAAACUCACCCCACCCUAUUUCAAUAAAGUCAGAAAAAAAUCCUCAUCAGAAAACAGAAUGGUGUUUCAUUUAAAAAAAAAAAAAAAUUGAAGCCCAUACACAUCUUUCUGGAGUGGAGGCAGGUGGCCUCUGCCUUAUUUGUGAAAUAGGAAAGUAGUGGAAGUAAAGACUUUGGCAUCUUGCUCCAGGCACCUAGCUUGCAGCUCUAUUGUAGAACAAGGAGCCUAGUGAAAGAGGAGUGGACUGACCCUGGGGAAGCCACGGCAGAUCCCUAUGCAGAAUGGCAGUGCUGCUGAAGACGGUCAGUUAGGGAGGAGACAAAGGGGCCCCCGCUCAGCAGCCUCGAAAAAACCCCCGUGAACCAGACAGGAAGGACAAUGUGUUCAUGACGGUGGCCUUGAGACUCUGAAGAAAUGGCAAGUUCUGGUCUAUAUAAGCCCUCGUAAGGCAGAAAAGCAUGCAAUAUAUUUUGUAAAAAGCUCCAGCGGGCUAUGUACACCAGGAAUAGGCUGUUCAGGGGUUGGGCACAGGGGUCAGGUGCUGGACACUAGAACAGGAUUCCACUCCGACAUUCCAGGUACAUAGAACUUCCCAGUGAGAAGAGCUAGCCACACAGUAGCAGAGGCUUGGAAAGGAACCCACCCCAGCACAACUCUCUCUGAAUGUGACCUUGGCUGCAAGCUGGGUUUGUAUGAACUUAACUGGCAUUUUUAACAAGACAG